CCACCAGGACCCCCAUGGCCUUCUCCGCAGGGCUGCUCUCAAAGAUUUCUUCUCUCACAUAUUUGAGAUUGCCCUGACCCAAGCGCAACACCUUGCACUUGGCCUUGUUGAACCUCAUUAGGUUCACAUGGGCUCACUUCUCAAGCAUUUCCAGGUCCCUCUGGUUGGCAUCCCUUCCUCUGUUGUAUCAGCUGCACCACUCAGCUUGGUGUUGUCUGCUCAUAGCACAGGCUGAACAAGAUCAGCUCAGGUGAACAUUUUCGACCACAGCCAGUCCCACUGUGUCAGGACCACUUCGGGGGACAGCACUGACAUCUCCCUUCAUUCCUUGUGUUGUUGGGGUCUUCUGAAGGCUUCUCCCAGUAAAGCCUUUAAGUGAAUCUCCUUAAGAGAUUCUCCUCUGCUGCUCCUGCUGCUGCUCAUUAAUGUUAUGCUAGUUUUAAUUUCUUCCUUGUCUUGUAUCACUAAUCAAGAAGUAAUUGAAUUAGCUGAAAAGAAGGAUAAGAUAAAUUAGCUAAGAAGAAUUAACUGUGUGCACCUGAGGUCAGCAGGCUCCUAGAAGAUUCAAGAUGCGUUGUGAGGAUAUUCCUGCGUUGUUUGCAGAGUAACUGGAUGUCUGCGUAGGCCGCAUCCUGAGCUGUCCUGCACAUCGUGGAGGAGAUGCGGUUCCCCGCUGCUUCCAACACUUGUACAGCCUAUCACGUAGCUGCUUCCACCCACAGAAUGAGGAUAACAGGGAGUUAACCUUUGGAAUUGCUGCAUGGCGGUGUGUCAGCCUCCAAAAUCCUCAAAAAGCCCAUGAAAAGAACUGCUGUAUUUCCUUUGGAAAAACUGGAUGGCAGCGUAAGAAAAAAAAAAAAAAAAGUGUUAGAAUGUGUUACAGCUUUGCUUUACUGGGAUUUGGAAAUGUCAGAGAGAGUUUCGGAUGUACCGACUGGUGUCCCAAUUCAAACUGGACAAGGAAUUCGUUUGGGGAUGGGAUUUAUUGCCCUUAGCGCCUUGUGACCUGCUGUGAGGACAGGGGUGCUGCUCAGCAGUGGCAACGUGUCAGUGGAAAAUCAUGAGGUUUUCGCUGAGGAACAAUGAAGUGUCUCAAAGGUUAGCAGUGUGCAGGAGAGAAGCUCAGUGAGAUGACUGCUUGGACCGUCCUCAAAGCCAAGGGAGAACUACUGAUGUGCUUGGCCUAGGGCAGCAAGCGAGGGUUUGUGUGCGCUCUGGUGACAGCAGUAACCUGUAAAGCUCAAGCAGAGGAGGUGGCUUUCCUGAAAGCUGCUGGCAGAGCCAGGCUGCUGAAAUAGCAGGACUGCUGACCAGCAGUUCCUGAGCUCUUUACUGUUUGCCAAAAUGCAAUUUUUUUUUUUUUUUUUUUUAUAGCCAGUGACUGAAAAUAGGAAAAAAUAAAAGAACACGGCGCGGUGCUGGCACAGCGCGGAGCGAGUCGUUUCCUGAUCUUAAAACAGUUGUCAAGCCACAGGUCGUAAGCAUUGCCAUUUGCAAUUCUUUCUUUUGAAUAGAAGGAAGUCAGGUCUGGCUGUACAGCACAUAGGUUACUUCUAAGCAGAAGCAGGCUUUUAAACGCUACCUUGCUCUUUUUUGUCAUUGGAUGUUUAAUAUAAUUAAAAAAAAAAAAUCAAGACAGGAGUUUCUGUCUCCUUGCCCUCUUUAAUAUUUUCUAGCACAGAAUGCCUUUUAAUUAAAGGAAAUAGUUGCAUCAUCUAUGGGAAUGUCUCAGUAACAAGAAAGAGAUCCAUGGGUUAACUUAGGGUAGAGGGGUAAACUUAGGAAGGGUAAACUUAGGAAGAAAGCAAGUGGUGGGCAGUCACACAGAGAUCUUCAUCUUCUCCAGCUCCAUCCUCUCUGCUGUCACCGGCAGAUGUUAACAGAAACAGGAGCUAAGUUGUUCUGCGGCUGGACAUUGCAUUAUUUGCAAUCUGUAUGCACUGAAGAGAAAACUCUCCCAUGGCGUAAACAUCUUCAUGUCCAAUAAGGGAAGAAAUCAGCCCACGUGUCAGUGCUCAUCUUGUUUCCAGAACCAGCGUUCUGUGUUAUGUUGUCCUGCCACGUGGUGUGCAAAGGUGAGGGAGGAGGGCACUGCAACACCGCUCAUUUACAGAGAAAUCCAUUCCGCAAAAGUUGGAGUGAUCUCAGCCUGCGAUUUUAAAAUCUGUUUCUUCAUAUAUAUAAGCUCCAGGAGCACAACAUUAACACUUCUCCUCCACUGCGGCACAGGCUGAGGAGAUGCUGAAGUGCAGGUGCUUGUCACCUGCCUGUAACUGAAGCAGGGAAAUCUGAGCAGCUGGAAACCCAUCUCUUCAGCCUGAGUUCAUUUACUUGGCUCCAGUUUGUAGUCUGCCUUAAUACACGUUUAGCAGUGAGAUUUGCAAAACUGAAAACUGUUUGUGCUAUAAAAUACAACUUUCUACCAUGGUAUCGAAACCUGAUGAUAAAUUUAACACGCUGGGAGGCAGAGGUUUGGGUCAGAGGAAAGAUGACUUAGAACUAAGUAAAACUAAAUGCUGAAGGGAAUUUGGCAUAGUAAAACUGCCGUAGGCAGGGGAAAAUUAUGACUUUACUGGAGAAGAGAAAAAAAGUUUUACUACUGGCUUCUGACCUUAUUGGCUUCUCAGAUGUAUACAGGGAAUGGAGAAUAAUUACCAAAUAAUUUGUAGUGAGAAUUGGCUGCGCCCUGUCGUGCUAGAUGCACGUGCUGCCUUUGCUUCAGCAUCCUCCGCCAGCGCUUCCCUCUCUUCGCGCCGCUGCUCACGACGCAGAGCCCCAGCUGGCGGCUGCUAGCAGCUCUGGAAACGCGGGGCCUUGGGCUGCAGGCUGGAAACUCUCGUUUCCAGGAGCAGCUUAAGGCCUGUGGAAAACUCCCACUGACUUUGCUGGGAUUAUCCAUCUGCGGAAAGUUAUUUGGAGGGAAGUGCAUUCCUUUGUAGAAUGGCUGGCAACAGGUCCGGGCAGCGCUUCGGUCUCAGUUCUGGCCUAUUGUUUUUGUUGGGCCGUAUUCAUUCUGCGCCUUGCACAAUGGGGCUGUGCUCCACGACUAGAGCUUGCACUUUCCAUUUUAGUCUAAUAAUAAAAGGAGGAUUAAAAAACGAAAGCCCAACUUGAAUGCAGAAGUGUUUUCAGACACCGGACCCCUCGGGCUCUGUCAUGUUUGUGUCUCUGAGCAUUCUCUGUGUAGAGCUGAGAGCGCAGCUCUGCCUGAGGAGCGCAGGCCCAGCGUGACCUAUCUGUUGUCAGGGCUUUUGGGGUCCCAGGCGAGGAAAACUGCACCAUAAAUGGAAAAUUAAUUCAGGGACCAUGUUCUUCCCUUGCUUUCUGAGCACUGCUGUUAUUUAUCCUCUUUUCAUGCUAUUUUGCCUUACAUUUCUAUUUAUAGUUGUUUUGUGAUCGCAUUUAUCUACGUAAUUUCAAAAAUACUCCAAUAUUUAAUUGGAAGGUUGAGGAGAAGAGUCCCCAAGCUAGCUUGUUUAAGGAGCAUGUUAUCUGCUGUCUGCUCAACUUAUUUUCUGUGGAGCUCCAAGAUAAUGAAUCCUACGCUGCAUUUAAACUUAAGAGUUUGCUAAUAAAAAAUACCCUUCUUCCUAAGGUUAUUUAAAAUGAGAGCCUAUGUUUCUCACAUCCUACUCUUGUCUGAAAUACAAAAUCCCAUCCUAUAUUGUAAUGCCAGUAAACGUUAGCAGAUAAAGUGCCGAGCAGGUCACAGUAUUUCUAAUUCAGAUUAAUGACCCCAUUCAGCUUGUCUCCUUAGCAGGAAAUUAGAAAGUGCUGGGAAGGAGAAAAUAGUGAUUCAUAAUGCGUGACUCUUUGUAUUGGCAGUUGCACUCAUUAAACGCUAAGAUACUGUUUUGAUAUAAAAUAAUUGAGUCUGACUUAUUUAUGGGACAUGGGUUGCCUCAGCUUGCAGAGAUUCCCUGGAAAGCCUGC